rnacentral:rRNA from 1 species
ACACAUCCACUCACACCUGUGCACCCUCUGUAGUUCUAUGGCGUGGGGGGCCCUGCCCUCCUGCUGUGGUUCUAUGUCUUUACACACACACUGUGAUGAAGUCUCAUGGAAUGUACAUCGCGUUUAACGCAAUAUAAUACAACUUUCAGCAACGGAUCUCUUGGCUCUCGCAUCGAUGAAGAACGCAGCGAAAUGCGAUAAGUAGUGUGAAUUGCAGAAUUCAGUGAAUCAUCGAAUCUUUGAACGCACCUUGCGCCCUUUGGCUAUUCCGAAGGGCAUGCCUGUUUGAGUAUCAUGAACACCUCAACUCUCAUGGUUUUCCCAUGACGAGCUUGGACUUUGGGGGUCUUGCUGGCCUAUGGUCGGCUCCUCUUAAAUGAAUCAGCUUGCCAGUGUUUGGUGGCAUCCCAGGUGUGAUAACUAUCUACGCUUGUGGUUUUCCGUCAAGU